GCCAAAAUAGCUCAGUUGGGAGAGUGUUAGACUAGGGCUCUAAAGGUCCCUGGUCCAAUCCUGGGUUUGGGCA